AGUCGAAGCUCCAUGCUCGUUUCAGUAGUCCUGAGACACGAGUCUAAGGUGCUAUUAUCCUGAGUUCUUGCCCCUAACCUGACAGCCCUGAUUAUACGGCUUUGAGGAAAACCCCAGAAGAAAAGGAUGUGGGGAAGGAAAAGAUGACAUCAGCGCAGGGCAGACAGAACCCGAGGAUCCUUCCGGUGAGAACAGACUAAGGACGCGAGAGAAGCCGCUUGUCAAAGUUCACAGCAUCUGAGACACAGCUUUAAUGUCAUCAUCCUGCAGCUUCAGGGAAAGUCACACAUCAUUUGGAUGCGCAGUGGAUCCAUCGCAUUGUCUUGAGAUAAAUGAGGCAAUCAAGCCCAAUUCCACAGCAAGCGAGGAGAAGAUGGGACGAUGGGAACCCUGGCUAUUUCAAGUCCCUUUGCAUAUUUCUUCUGCCUUAGAAAUAUGAAGACAUCUGGGGAAGCCUGGUUAUGAAGUAGGAUGUCAGCGGCACGUGAUUGACUAUACCAGUGUAGUUCUGGAGAGGGAGGAAUGGUGGCAGAGGAUCUGAGCACUAGGCAGAAAGAAUGCAUCCAUAAUUGCCUUCAGUCAGGGGAGUUGCUAUGAGGCUGGGAGAGGUGAUUGGAGCAUCAAAUUGCCUUGAGUCAAAUCUGGCCUAAGUGACCUUGAGUUGGUCUAACAUUUCUGGGCCUUUGUACGUAGUCUAUGAGUACUCAGUAAAUCAUAAUUAUUCUUUAUCAACAUUACCGAUGAGCUUAGCAUUGAUAUAGUCAGGUGUCUUUAAUCCAUCUUUCAACAAGUGACUAUUGCAUCGCAUGUAUGCCAAUCACUGUACACUGUAUUAAGAGUAUAGUAGUUGCCAUGGGAACCACUGUGACAGAUAUAUGAGUAGCAGUGGGACCAAAGAGGAGACCAUGUUGACACUGACCCGCCAUUGAUGUUGAUAACCUGUGAAACUUUCCAUUGAAAGUAGGGGAUCUGGGAAGCAUGUGGAACUUGUCACUGGCACCCUCUCAGCCUCUCUUCUGUCACUUUAUCCUCCCCUUCCAGCGUUCAACCACGCCUUAACUCUUUCCUACAAUAAACCUUAAGUGAUUGGCAAGACUAAUUUCUAGUUCUGCAUCUUAGAGGACCAGAGAAAAUCAAUGCGUAGAAAGGUCUGCAUCUAUAAGUACCCCA